UACGUAGGGUGCAAGCGUUAUUCGGAAUCACUGGGCGUAAAGGGCGCGCAGGCGGUUUUGUAAGUCUAAAGUGAAAUCCUUGGGCUUAACCCAAGGGCUGCUUUAGAUACAGCAAAACUCGAGUUCUGGAAAAGCAAACGGAAUUCCUGGUGAAGGGGUGAAAUCCGUAGAUAUCAGGAAGAACACCAGUGGCGAAAGCGGCUUGCUAGAAGGCAACUGACGCUUAGGCGCGAAAGCGUGGGGAGCAAACAGG
rnacentral:rRNA from 1 species